UUGGAUAACUGUGGUAAUUCUAGAGCUAAUACAUGCACUUCGGCUCCGACCCUUUCUGAGGGGAAGAGCGCAUUUAUCAGCUUCGAAGCCAGCCGGGUCGCAAGGCCCGUCCACCUUUGGUGACUCUGGAUAACUGUUGCGGAUCGCAUGGCCCUGAGCCGGCGACGCGUCCAUCAAAUGUCUGCCCUAUCAGACUGUCGAUGGUAAGUGCUAUGCUUACCAUGGUGAUAACGGGUAACGGGGAAUCAGGGUUCGAUUCCGGAAUCGAACCCUGAU
rnacentral:rRNA from 1 species